CGAAAGCCUGACGGAGCAAGACGCGUGAGGGAGGAAGGUCUAGGGUUGUAAACCUCUUUUAUCAGGGAAGAAGCUCUGACGGUACCUGAGGAAUCAGCAUCGGCUAACUCCGUGCCAGCAGCCGCGGGUAUACGGAGGAUGCAAGCGUUAUCCGGAAUCAUUGGGCGUAAAGCGUCCGCAGGUGGGAGUUCAAGUCGAUUGUCAAAGGCAGUAGCUUAACUACUGAAAGGCAGUUGGGAACUGAACAACUAGAGUGCGGAAGGGGUAGAGGGAAUUCCCGGUUGUAGCGGGUGAAAUGCGUAGAGAUCGGGAAAGAACACCAGUGGCGAAAGCGCUCUGCUGGACCGGCACUGACACUGAGGGACGAAAAGCUAGGGGAGCG
rnacentral:rRNA from 1 species